rnacentral:lncRNA from 1 species
UUUUUUUAUUCAUAUUUUUAAAGUUUCACCUCAUUCAUAUACUAACUUGAGCGUCGGACUGCUAACCUUUUUUGCAGGUACCCCUCUGACCCCAAAACGAAAGUCUUACCGCGGUAGUUGUCUUCGUCUUCAGCCUUACAUCGUUUCAGUAUGGAAUAGUUAUAAUUGAAUGUUCUAAAUCUUCUUCAUAAUAGUCUUUUGCAUGCAUGCUGAAGUUCUGAUGUUUUUUUUUGUUUUGUCAAUGGAGUGCUAGAUAAUGUUUCUUAGAUUGCUGAUUGUGUUUACUUGAUAGAUUUGAGUUGCGACAGGUUGAUAGUGUUUUCUUAAUGGAUUUGCAUUGCGUUCAGGUUGCCGAUCGCGUUUUCUUAAUGGAUUUGCGAUGCAUGCUUCAGAUUGUUGAAGCACACACAUGAAACUGACUUGACACAAGUUUUCAUUUGAUAAGUAAGAGAUAUGUUUAACCAUUAUGCAGCAAAGCCAGGAUUAGCUUCAUAUCUAAAACCUUAAGAACAGAGAACAGCUCCAGAUAGAUAAAUCAAACUUCUUCAAAUUGAAUUUCGAACAUGUUUUGCUGCAGCAGCUUGGUUUGUCAAAACAAUAACCUUCUUCAAAGCAUGCAUCAGCCUGGCUUUUUGAUUUGGUGAUAUCUAUAAAAUAAUUUUUGUUUUCAAUUCUGAGAGCGUAUUUUUCUUGAAGUUGUCUUUUGAUCUUGUAUAAGUUGUUGAAGUUUGUGUUUCUUCCGUGUUGAGGUUUUUGUGUUUCUAUUAUCAGGGACUUAGAUCUUUGGCUAAGUGCAAAUUAUGGAAUUAGAUACCAUCUUUGAAUCUUUGAUAUAGCCCAAGCACGUCUCAGUGUCGUGUGUCAGAUACUGACGCUUCCUACUAUGGCUGCACUUUAAUUUGGUCAUCACUACCAAGACUUUUACGCUUUAGUCUUUGUUUGAUUUGAUACACAACAUCUACUUUUGUCGGAUUCUUUGAGUUGUGUGAGUUUUGCAGGGAGAUGCAUUUAUCCCGUUUCGCAGAAAGCAUGGUGGAUAUCCAGAAUGCCUUGAUACAACAACCAGAACAGGAAAUAACUCUAGAUAGCUAAAUCAAUUUUUUAUGGGUCAUUCUUUACUAUUUUUAUUUCCGACCUUUGAUUGCAAGGCAUACAAAUUAAUUUCUGAAGUGUUUUGCUUCAGCGUGGUUGUUUCCAACUAAUAACCUUCUUCAGGGCAUGGAGCUUAGCAUUUCAAUUUUUGAUUUGGUGAUCUCCAUUAAAUUCUUUUUAUAUUGAUUCUAUUUUUUGGUUCUGAAACCAUAUCUUCUUUGAUUUGGUGUUUACUCUCUGGUGUUGCAGGAUAUUUAAUAUGUUAACAGACGAUUUCUUCUUGUUCUAUUUUCCUCUUGUUUGAUCUUCAUGGCUGUUGAUUUUUGCUUUCUUGAUUCUUAGGUUUGAUUUGGUUUUUGUUAGUUUUGACCUUGGAAGUUACUGUCUACUAUUAUUUUGUUAGGGUUUUAAAUGAUUGUUCUUUUGUGUAUACAUAUGGGUGACCUUGGAAGUCACUUUUUUCUACAUUCUCCCAAGUGGAUAUUUAUCGAAGUGGGGAUGCCGAAAUUUUUACCGUUUCAUAUGGACUGUGUAUAUUUGUUCCACAAUAGUCCUCCUUUAUUGCAUGCUUAACAUUGCUGAACAGAAUUGUGGAGCAUAUCUCUUCUCGCUACCUUCUCCGUUUUUAAGCAAAUUGUGGCCGUGUUUGAUUUGAUGAUCUACAUCUAAAGAGAGUUAUUCUUGCACUCUUUUACUGUUUGUUUCUUUUAUUUCUGAUAUAUUGGAAUAGGAAUUCGUUUCCUCUCUAAGGAUUUCAUCGGGCACCAGAAUUCAUUAUUAGAACCAUCAUGUUCUGCAGACUGUAAGAUAAUCUCUAAGGAAUUCGAGUCAUACAUUUCUGUAGGAAACUUGUUUCAUUUUGUAGAGUGAACAGCGUGGUUUGGGAAAGUAUCUCCAUCCGGUGUUUGGUAAGGUAAAUUAUGCUCAUAUUGAGAUCCAAAGUAUGCAAUUUGAUGGCAAUUGUUCCAAACAUAAAUAUUUUGUUGGUUGUGUCCUAUGUUCUCACUAUUUCUAGAUUAUAAUCAGAAGAUCUAUAUAGUAAUGUGGUGUUUGUUAGUGGAUAUAGUACACAUCUUUAAGCGCAAGAUAUAUUAUCAGAUGAUUGACAAAGCAGUUUUGGUAUAUAAUUAUCAGAUGAUAGCACCAUUAUCACGAUUAUUUUACAUUAAUAGCCCAUCAUACAACAAUAUAUAUAAUAUACAUCUUUACUUUUGGAGUAUGCCAUUCCUUUUUUUAUGAUGCUUAGUGGAUUAGUCAAAAGUUCAUUAAGACUUGCAGCAACAACAAUAUAUAUAAUAUACAUCUUUACUUUUGGAGUAUGCCAUUCCUUUUUUUAUGAUGCUUAGUGGAUUAGUCAAAAGUUCAUUAAGACUUGCAGCAAUCUUUAUGUGUAAUCUAAUCUAGACGUUCACUCUGCUCAAUAUUUGUAAACGGACAAGAACACCGGCUAUUUGUAAACGGACAAGAACACCGGCCCUCUUUCAUCUCAACUGUUGAUCUACAACUACUUGGUAGUCUACACUUCAUGCUAGACAAACCAAAGAUGAGUAGUAUCUCUACUAUAUACGUGUGAUUCUGCGUCACAAUCAGGUAUUUUUUUAUUCAUAUUUGUAAAGUUUCACCUCAUUCAUAUACUAACUUGAGCGUCGGAGUGCUAACCUUUUUUUGCAGGUACCCCUCUUACCUCAAAACGAAUGUCUUACCGCGGUAGUUGUCUUUGUCUUCAGCCUUACAUUGUUUCAGUAUGGAAUAGUUAUAAUUGAAUGUUCUAAAUCUUCUUCAUACAAGUCUUUUGCAUGCAUGCUGAAGUUCUGAUUUUUUUUUCAAUUGAGUGCUAGAUAAUGUUUCUUUCCAUAACAUAUAAGCUCCCAAAUUUCGUACAGUCGCAAUACAUAUAAGCUCUUGGUUAAUAACAAGAGCGGUGAAGAAUCUACUGGCAAUGGGGAGAUGGAACAAGGAGGAGAAAUCAUCCAAAGUGAUUAGCUUCAUAUCUAAAACCUUAAGAACAGAGAACAGCUCCAGAUAGAUAAAUUUAACUUCUUCAACGAGUCUUUUUCUUUUCUUUUUCUCGCCUUUAUUGCCAGACAUGCAAAUUGAAUUUCGAACAUGUUUUGCUGCAGCAGCAGCUUGCUUUGUCAAAACAAUACCCUUCUUCGAAGCAUGCAACAGCCUAGCUUUUUGAUUUGGUGAUAUCUAUAAAAUUAUUUUUGUUUUCAAUUCUGAGAGCGUAUUUUUUUUGAAGUUUUCUUUUGAUCUUGUAUAAGUUGUUGAAGUUUGUGUUUCUUCCGUGUUGAGGUUUUUGUGUUUCUGUUACAGGGACUUAGAUCUUUGGCUAAGUGCAAAUUAUGGAAUUAGAUACCAUCUUUGAAUCUUUGAUAUAGCCCAAGCACGUCUCAGUGUCGUGUGUCAGAUACUGACGCUUCCUACUAUGGCUGCACUUUAAUUUGGUCAUCACUACCAAGACUUUUACGCUUUAGUCUUUUGUUUGAUUUGAUACACAACAUCUACUUUUGUCGGAUUCUUUGAGCUGUGUGAGUUUUGCAGGGAGAUGCAUUUAUCCCGUUUCGCAGAAAGCUGAGAAAUAUGGUGGAUAUCCAGAAUGCCUUGAUACAACAACCAGAACGGAAAAUAACUCCAGAUAGUUAAAUCAAUUUUUUAUGGGUCAUUCUUUACCAUUUUUAUUUCCGGCCUUUGAUUGCAAGGCAUACAAAUUGAUUUUUGAACGUGUUUUUCUGCAGCGUUGUUGUGUCCAACUAAUAACCUUCAUCAGAGCAUGGAGCUUAGCAUUUCAAUUUUUGAUUUGGUGAUCUCCAUUAAAUUCUUUUUAUAUUGAUUAUAUUUUUUGGUUCUGAAACCAUAUCUUCUUUGAUUUGGUGUUUACUCUCUGGUGUUGCAGGAUAGUUAAUAUGUUAACAGACGAUUUCUUCUAGUUCUAUUUUCCUCUUGUUUGAUCUUCAUGGCUGUUGAUUUUUUGCUUUCUUGAUUCUCUUAGGUUUGAUUUGGUUUUUGUUAGUUUUGACCUUGGAAGUUACUGUCUACUAUUAUUUUGUUAGGGUUUUAAAUGAUUGUUCUUUUGUGUCAACUAUUAUUCCUCGGUUGAUUUCUGUACAUAUGGGUGUUUUGCGUUUAAUUUGUUGGCAGCACUUAUUGGCAAAAUCUGGAGUUUUGGUUUGAAUUUUAUGUCUUAAGGUUGCAGAUUGAUAUCAAAUAAUGGUAAUGUUUUGCAUUUAUCACCUUACUUGAAUUGCAAAUUGAAACUUGUACUGUUUUCUGUUAUGUAAUGUGUACUGUAGUAUCAAGCAAUGUGUGUGUAAUCAAGCAAUCAGUUUCUUUUUAAAUAUACUCUUCUUGGAUUGUGAAUUGUUUUCAUUUCAUUGCUUCUAUAUAGAGUUUUAUUGUCCUGUUUUCUCGAUUUACACCUUUAUGAUCCUGUUUUCUCGAUUUACUCCUUUGCAGAUUGAUAUGAAAUAAUGGUGAUAUUUUGCAUUUAUCACCUUACAUGAAUUGCGAAUUGAAAUAUGUACUGUUUUCUGUUAUGUAGUGUGUUUUGCAUCAAUAGUGUUUUGUGUAGUAUCAAGCUAUGCGUAAUCAAGAAAUCAGUUUUUUU